UACGUAGGGUGCGAGCGUUAAUCGGAAUUACUGGGCGUAAAGCGUGCGCAGGCGGCUAUGCAAGCCAGAUGUGAAAUCCCCGGGCUCAACCUGGGAACUGCAUUUGUGACUGCAUGGCUAGAGUACGGUAGAGGGGGAUGGAAUUCCGCGUGUAGCAGUGAAAUGCGUAGAUAUGCGGAGGAACACCGAUGGCGAAGGCAAUCCCCUGGACCUGUACUGACGCUCAUGCACGAAAGCGUGGGGAGCAAACAGG
rnacentral:rRNA from 1 species